UUACAAGUAAGACAUGUUUCUUGCUUUACUUUUGUUUUACCAUAGGUACACAACCAAUGACAAAUUUGUAUCGUCACAUAGAAUAUUUGGUCAUGGCCACAACCUUUAUAGGCAAGAAUACUUCUUUCUUUUUGUUCUUUCAUUGGUUCAUAACAAACAUAUUAUAAUAUUCUAACGUAUAAAUGCACACGACUAUUGAUUGUUCAUGUCAAAUAAAAUUUAUUUAUUUCUCUCAAACCUCCCGUAGAGGUGAGUUUGACAUAUAUCCAACCAUACAUGAAUAUAUUUUUAUUAAUAUUUUUCCUUCAUAUUUUUCCAUAUGCACUUUCAAGAAAAGGCAAACAUUCACAUGCUUAUUACAAGUCGCAAUCUCUUCAUGAGUUGUUGAUAACUAUUUAUACAUGUUAGACCUUUGUAUUUGACAUAUUUACAUGAUCCACCUCAACAUCAUUUUGAAAAAUAAAGUGAACCGCCAUUUUAUAUUCUUUUAUUUUGAUGGAGGAUUUAUAAAACUUGUCAAAUUAUUGGAUUGACAACAUUCACAAAUCCAAUGAGCUUUCAUACCAUUUUGAUAAUAAAAAUUGCCUUCACAUUCUGAAAGACUAUUUUAAGAACCCAUAGUGUUUUUCCUUUUAUAAUUACCACAACGAUGACUAUUAUAAUUCCGUCAUUUCACAUCCUUUUUCAAAUCGUUAAUCAUUUGUCAUCUUUCAGACUAAUUAUUUACAGCUACCACAUCAUACGAUAGAAUGGAGCAAUUCAAUUGGCGGAUUUCAAAGUUAUCAUACAUUACUACCACAUUCUUUUCAAGGAAUGGAGCAUGAACUCAAUCAUGAUGCAUCAAAACUCAAAUUGAUGUCUUACCCUUUUAGUGCGAUAGAACAUAAAUCUACCGUCUUACCCUCACAUUUUUCAUUAUGGUACAUCCGGACUUUAACCUGAUGUCUUACCCUUUUGGUACAAUGAGAUUUGAAUCCACCGUCUUACCCUUAACCAACGGUAUAAUAAACCGAAGUACAACAUGACUCACCCUUUUAGUCUUUUAAAACAAUCAAAAUAAUAUUUAAACCAUGCUAUUAAAAUUUUAUACCUUCUUCCAUUUAAGAGAUUUUGUAUAGCACGUCAUAUUCAACCAAUGGUAGUAUAUGCUUUUCAUUCCUGAUAAUUAUUAGUGACUGAAUACUAUUGUACUCUAAAUCAUAAAAAUAUUUUAGAAAAUAUAUACCUGAUUUUAUGCAUAUAAUACCUAGGUUCUCAUAACGGAUCAACCAAAAUAUGAGUUAUAAAAAAACUAAAACUAAAACUCAAUCUCAAUUGGUUAGAAUCUCGUGUUGAUAACGUGUUAUAAAAUCUAAGCUCAGAAUAAUAUAAGUAUAAAGAAGAGGAUAAGAGAAGUAGAUUUAGGAGAAAAUUUUCUUUUUAUUCAAGUGUAUUGUUAAAUGGUGAGUGAUAUCUCUAUUUAUAGUGUUGAGAUAUCACUCCCAAAGGUCACCACAUUAAUAGAUACAUAGUUAUCUCUUAAGGUUCUUAUCAUCGUAGAAACACUUAUACAUGAAUCCAAUUAAUUGUUGGAUAACUCUAAUGGAUCUCCACAUAAAACAAUGGAUUUAUAACACUAAAUGAUUUAUAACCUAUUAUCGAAUUUUCAACUAUAUAUUUACUUAUUACCUCUUUAUACUAUUUUACAGAGAAAUUAUUUGCUUCAUAACCGUUCAUCUGUUAGAAUGUAUAAAAAUGUAACGAUCGAGUUUCGUCGUUACAGAAAUGUCCAUGGAUAAAAAUUAGGGUCGGAAAUUUUUUUCGUAGUGUUACGAUUUUUCCAAUCUUAUCUAGAUUUGGAGGAAAUUGGAAUCGUCAAGGUGUAGGAGAAUCUAAUAGAAAUCGGGGUGGAGUAAAUAGGAAUUUUAUUACAUAAUCGGUUAGAUAACUCGUUAGGAAAUCCGUAUGACAUUACAAAAUUGAAUUUGGAUAAUAGACCUCCGGGAUUCGCCCGUAGCGUUAAGGGUACUUUCUAGUGUAGUGGAUUAAGAGUAUGUUAUGAAAGAUGGAAACUGAAAAUCCCUUAAAGGCUAACUACCUCGCUUCGUGCUGCUGCAGCAGGAUUCUUAUCGCUGCAGCAACGUCACUACAGCGGGAUAGGUACCACUGUAGUAGAAGAGGCGAAAAUUGAUUAUAGAAUUUUUGAGAUUUUUCAUGACGGAGCUCACUGGUUCAAAAAUUGUCACUACAGUGGGAUUGGUGUCGCUACAGCGAUGCCGCUACAACGGGAUGUGUGUCGCUGUAGCGGGAUGGCGGAUUUUAAAAUCAUAAAUAAGACCGUUACACGACUUUAUUUUGUAUUUUUUGACUUUUUGGGUUAAGAGACGACCCAUGGGCUAUUCUAACUCGUUUUCCACCAUUCUUGAAGCUAGAGGUAAGCUUUUCACUCUCCAAAUUUAUUUUUGGGUCCGUAGAGCGUUUUAGAAUGGGUAAAUAUUGAUGGAGAACAAUUUCUUGAAGAAUCCUAUAGUGGAAUUAACCCCAAAAUUGAUUAGUUGGGGUCAUAGGUUUGAAUUGGGGUUCAUAGUUUGUUAGUAUUCCGGAAAUUUAGUGCUUCUUUAUUGACUUCCGUAUAUAAAUUGUUAUUUGUAGACCACGAACAAGCGGAACAAAUCCGAAAAGGGAAGGAUCAAGUUGUCUAGGGUUUCAAGCUUAUUUCGAGGACAUCUUCACGUGGCUAUUGACAAACUUUGCUUAGGUGAUCAGCGAUUGCUUUGAGUUCAAGGGUGAGCUCAUCGUUCGAGCUGCCAUAGAAUUCUCUUUAGUCUAUGUCCACUAUUUUCGGACGUAAACCUUAUUUUAGUCAGUUAGAUAGUUCACUAGAAAUUCUUGUAAGAUUUGGUUCUUGCUUCUAGUUUUGGUACAUUGACUUUCAGAUACUAGGUUUAUCUUCCGCAUUGUUAGUUAAUUAUUAGAUCUUUAAUUGAUGGAACUUAGCUUAAUUAUUUAACUUGCUUUCAUAACUUAAAUGCGUUAGUUUUUUGA